rnacentral:rRNA from 1 species
AAUACACUAUCGUUGGGAGAUUUUUUUGCGCGCGCAAACUCCCCCUUUAACUCUUUUAUUCCGCCAAUAAUCAUAUGCUUGUCUCAAAAAUAAAGCCCUGCGUGUCUAAAUAUAAACAACUUUGUGCUGGGAAACUGGGAAAGGGUCAUUAAAUCAAUUAUGGUUCCCUUGGGCGCUCGCUCCUCUCCUAGUUGGAUAACUGCGGUAAUUCUAAAACUAAUACUUGCUUUCAAGCCCCUACUUCUGGAGGGGGGGUAUUUAUUAAAAAAAAAUCAACUUGUUUGGUGAAUCAUAAUAACUUCUCGGACCGCAUGGCCGCUGGCUGGCAGUGCUUCAUUCAAAUAUCUGCCCUAUCAACUGUCGAUGGAAGGAUAAAGACCUACCAUGGUUGCAACGGGUAAAGGGGAAUAAAGAUUCGAUUCCGGAGAGGGAACCUGAGAAACGGCUACCACAUCCAAGGAAGGCGGCAGGCGCGCAUAUUACCCAAUCCCGACACGGGGAGGUAGUGACAAUAUGUAACAAUAUACGGCCUUAUACGUCUUAUAAUUGUAAUAAGUACAAUUUAAAACCCUUAACAAGUAAAAAUUGAAGGGGGAGUCUGGUGCCAGCAGCCUCGGUAUUUCCUGCUCCAAUAGCGUAUAUUAAAGUUGUUGCAGUUAAAAAGCUCAUAUUUGGACCUUGGACCUGNACAGGCGGUCCGCCUCACGACGAGUACUGUCUUGCUGGGUCUUUCCUCUUGGUGAUCUGUUGUUUCGACAGCAGGGUACCAGGACCUUUACUUUGAGAAAAUUAGAGUGUUCAAAGCAGGCUCGACUCCGGAAUAUAUUAGCAUGGAAUAAUAAAUAGGACGUGCGGUUCUAUUUUGUUGGNUUUUGGAAUCGCCGCAAUGAUUAGUAUGGACAGUCAGAGGCAUUAGUACUCACAUGCUAAAGGUGAAAUCAUUGUAUUUGAGAAGACUAACUUCUGCGUAAGCAUUUGCAAGGAUGUUUUCAUUAAUCAAAAACGAAGGUUAGGGUUCCAAAACAAUAAAAAACCGUUUGAACCUUAAAGUUAACUUAUCCAACUUAGGAACCGGCGAAAUUUACCUUUUUAACCUUUUGGGACCCUUCGAAAAAAAUAAAAUUUUUGGACUUUGGGGGAUUUGGGGCGAAAUUUGUAAUUUUAAUA